rnacentral:rRNA from 1 species
UGGGGAAUAUUGCACAAUGGGCGCAAGCCUGAUGCAGCGACGCCGCGUGGGGGAUGACGGCCUUCGGGUUGUAAACUCCUUUCGCUAGGGACGAAGCUUUUUGUGACGGUACCUAGAUAAGAAGCACCGGCUAACUACGUGCCAGCAGCCGCGGUAACACGUAGGGUGCGAGCGUUGUCCGGAAUUACUGGGCGUAAAGGGCUCGUAGGUGGUUUGUCGCGUCGUCUGUGAAAUUCCGGGGCUUAACUCCGGGCGUGCAGGCGAUACGGGCAUAACUUGAGUACUGUAGGGGUAACUGGAAUUCCUGGUGUAGCGGUGAAAUGCGCAGAUAUCAGGAGGAACACCGAUGGCGAAGGCAGGUCUCUGGGCAUUAACUGACGCUGAGGAGCGGAAGCAUGGGGAGCGAACAGGAUUAGAUACCCUGGUAGUCCAUGCCGUAAACGUUGGGCACUAGGUGUGGGGGACAUUCCACGUUUUCCGCGCCGUAGCUAACGCAUUAAGUGCCCCGCCUGGGGAGUACGGCCGCAAGGCUAAAACUCAAAGGAAUUGACGGGGGCCCGCACAAGCGGCGGAGCAUGCGGAUUAAUUCGAUGC